UACGAAGGGGGCUAGCGUUGCUCGGAAUCACUGGGCGUAAAGGGUGCGUAGGCGGGUCUUUAAGUCAGGGGUGAAAUCCUGGAGCUCAACUCCAGAACUGCCUUUGAUACUGAGAGGCUCGAGUCCGGGAGAGGUGAGUGGAACUGCGAGUGUAGAGGUGAAAUUCGUAGAUAUUCGCAAGAACACCAGUGGCGAAGGCGGCUCACUGGCCCGAUACUGACGCUGAGGCACGAAAGCGUGGGGAGCAAACAGG
rnacentral:rRNA from 1 species